UUGCAUAGACACAGAUCAAAGCUGAGAG
rnacentral:piRNA from 1 species